rnacentral:rRNA from 1 species
UCGGUUAAGUCCCGGUACGAGCGCAACCCCUAUCUUUAGUUGCCAGCGCUUCGGGCGGGGACUCUAAAGAGACUGUCGGCGAAAAGUCGGAGGAAGGUGGGGACGACGUCAAGUCAGCAUGGCCCUUACGCCUUGGGCUACACACAUGCUACAAUGGCCGAUACAACAGGUUGCUAACCCGUGAGGGGGAGCCAAUCCUCUAAAGUCGGUCUCAGUUCGGAUUGCAGGUUGCAACUCACCUGCAUGAAGUUGGAAUCGCUAGUAAUCGCAGAUCAGCAAUGCUGCGGUGAAUACGUUCCCGGACCUUGCACACACCGCCCGUCACACCACGAAAGUCGGUUCUACCCGAAGUAGCUGCGCUUAACCUUCGGGAGGCAGGCUCCUAAGGUAGGGCCGGUAAUUGGGGUGAAAGUCGU